AGAGUUUGAUCAUGGCUCAGAUUGAACGCUGGCGGCAGGCCUAACACAUGCAAGUCGAGCGGUAGCACAGAGAGCUUGCUCUCGGGUGACGAGCGGCGGACGGGUGAGUAAUGUCUGGGAAACUGCCUGAUGGAGGGGGAUAACUACUGGAAACGGUAGCUAAUACCGCAUAACGUCGCAAGACCAAAGUGGGGGACCUUCGGGCCUCAUGCCAUCAGAUGUGCCCAGAUGGGAUUAGCUAGUAGGUGGGGUAACGGCUCACCUAGGCGACGAUCCCUAGCUGGUCUGAGAGGAUGACCAGCCACACUGGAACUGAGACACGGUCCAGACUCCUACGGGAGGCAGCAGUGGGGAAUAUUGCACAAUGGGCGCAAGCCUGAUGCAGCCAUGCCGCGUGUGUGAAGAAGGCCUUCGGGUUGUAAAGCACUUUCAGCGGGGAGGAAGGCGUUAAGGUUAAUAACCUUGGCGAUUGACGUUACCCGCAGAAGAAGCACCGGCUAACUCCGUGCCAGCAGCCGCGGUAAUACGGAGGGUGCAAGCGUUAAUCGGAAUUACUGGGCGUAAAGCGCACGCAGGCGGUCUGUCAAGUCGGAUGUGAAAUCCCCGGGCUCAACCUGGGAACUGCAUUCGAAACUGGCAGGCUAGAGUCUUGUAGAGGGGGGUAGAAUUCCAGGUGUAGCGGUGAAAUGCGUAGAGAUCUGGAGGAAUACCGGUGGCGAAGGCGGCCCCCUGGACAAAGACUGACGCUCAGGUGCGAAAGCGUGGGGAGCAAACAGGAUUAGAUACCCUGGUAGUCCACGCCGUAAACGAUGUCGAUUUGGAGGUUGUGCCCUUGAGGCGUGGCUUCCGGAGCUAACGCGUUAAAUCGACCGCCUGGGGAGUACGGCCGCAAGGUUAAAACUCAAAUGAAUUGACGGGGGCCCGCACAAGCGGUGGAGCAUGUGGUUUAAUUCGAUGCAACGCGAAGAACCUUACCUGGUCUUGACAUCCACAGAACUU
rnacentral:rRNA from 4 species